CGGAGGGAAACCGAGUCUUAACCGGGCGUUAAGUUGCAGGGUAUAGACCCGAAACCCGGUGAUCUAGCCAUGGGCAGGUUGAAGGUUGGGUAACACUAACUGGAGGACCGAACCGACUAAUGUUGAAAAAUUAGCGGAUGACCUGUGGCUGGGGGUGAAAGGCCAAUCAAACCGGGAGAUAGCUGGUUCUCCCCGAAAGCUAUUUAGGUAGCGCCUCGUGAAUUCAUCUCCGGGGGUAGAGCACUGUUUCGGCUAGGGGGCCAUCCCGGCUUACCAACCCGAUGCAAACUGCGAAUACCGGAGAAUGUUAUCACGGGAGACACACGGCGGGUGCUAACGUCCGUCGUGAAGAGGGAAACAACCCAGACCGCCAGCUAAGGUCCCAAAGUCAUGGUUAAGUGGGAAACGAUGUGGGAAGGCCCAGACAGCCAGGAUGUUGGCUUAGAAGCAGCCAUCAUUUAAAGAAAGCGUAAUAGCUCACUGGUCGAGUCGGCCUGCGCGGAAGAUGUAACGGGGCUAAACCAUGCACCGAAGCUGCGGCAGCGACGCUUAUGCGUUGUUGGGUAGGGGAGCGUUCUGUAAGCCUGUGAAGGUGUGUCGUGAGGCAUGCUGGAGGU
rnacentral:rRNA from 1 species